rnacentral:rRNA from 19 species
UAAGGUCACGGCGAGACGAGCCGUUUAUCAUUACGAUAGGUGUCAAGUGGAAGUACAGUGAUGUAUGCAGCUGAGGCAUCCUAACAGACCGAGAGAUUUGAAC